UACGUAGGGUGCAAGCGUUUGUCCGGAAUCAUUGGGCGUAAAGCGCGCGUAGGUGGCCAUUUAAGUCCGCUGUGAAAGUCAAAAGGCUCAACCUUUGAAAGCCGGUGGAUACUGGAUGGCUAGAGUACGGAAGAGGCGAGUGGAAUUCCUGGUGUAGCGGUGGAAUGCGCAGAUAUCAGGAGGAACACCAAUAGCGAAGGCAGCUCGCUGGGACGU
rnacentral:rRNA from 1 species